CGACUGUUGUGGGUCGUGUGUGGGUCUCGGGAGUGUCUGAGCUGCUGCAGAUGCCUCCUGCUGUAUGACGAUGUGCUGAGGAUGACUAUUAAGCGGAACUGGCCAGGUUCCAGUAUUGGAUGGCGAGCUAGAAGGCCUCGAGCCUGGACAUAUUGAGUGCGCCCGUCCGCCGGUGCGGUAGGAGGCGCUGCAGCCGCUCCCCACACACACCCACUUGCACACACGCACACUAACAACCUCCGCUGGUGGAUUGUUUGAACUUUGCAAGUUUUGCACAGACUGAAACCCGGGUUCACCAAACUUCAAGAUCUGAACUCUUUGUGCGCCUAAGUGGAUUUAUGAACUCUUCUUUCGCAGCAACGUGGAUUUAUGAACAAUACUGCUUGCGCCCUUGACCUAAACAACUCUAUAAAUACAUUGGACCCAUUUUAUUUUUGUUUUACAUCACACACCUUGUAAAUUAUUGUACAUAAUGUCUUUGUCGAUGGCACUUCUGUAAAUAAUCACAGCUGAGCUCAACUUGCACAUCUGAGUCUGGUUUUCAUUUAACACACCAUCUUCCUUCGAGCCAACCUACAUCUUCUGAUACUAGCCCAUUUCAUUGCACUACUAUUAUUAUUGGCAAUUAAUAUAUGAUUUUCAUAUUGCUGCAUUAUACAUGCUACAUCAGUCCUUAAAGGGUUAAGGUAAUAUGGGCCAAUUGACCUGGAAGUUUGAGGACCAAGAAAAAUUGGUCUAAGGGCCGCAUUUCGCCCCUGGGCCACAGUUUGGACAUGUCUGUUCUACGCAAAGCAACAAAAUUCGCAAGGAGUGCAAAUUUUGCUAGUGCAAUACAGCAGAAAAGUGUUAAAUUCAUCACUAAAUGGAACCAAAUAUUACUGAUUGAGAGCCGAUGUAAGACGCAUCACUUUUACUAACAGUGUACGACACAACUUAUACUUUCAGAACAUUUUUGUACCAUUUUGCUACCUACCUAUCCUAAAGCUUCCUCAAAAUCAUUUCAACCCACCUGGUAAUAUUUGGAUGUAUUUCUUUAAUUCAAAGUAAGUCACUACAAAGAAUUCCUGGAGGUGUAUUUAAAAAGCGAUGCAUUUGAAUAUUCUGUCAACACCGAGACAAUAAACGCACAUAUGGUGGGAGUGACACACAGGAUCCAACAGUGGCUCACCUGCAGUUAGUCUGGCUUCCUUCUCUCUCUCUCCCAACUUAUUUGUAUCCAACACAUCAAUCACAGUCACCUCCUAAUGACUUAUUCAUUAACUCCUCCAAAACACACGCACCAAUGAUGAGGCUCGAAGAAGCAUGUUUUCAAGACACACAGUGGUGCAGCCUGCAGUCAGCAUUCUGUGGAAUUAAAGCCACUAUUAAUCAAUUGAAAGUGUUGGAACGGAUCCCAGACACGUAAUCUUAGAGCUAAACAAUGGGAAGUGUGCUGGCUGCAUGUGUAUGAGGCUAUGUGGGUGAUAGCAAGAUAAAAUACAGGGGGUUAAAGGAAUGCAACAUGUAUUAUGCAACUCUGAGGAGAGAAUGAUACAGAUUAAUCACAUUAUGUAUGCAGCAGCUGCUUUUUCUGUGUUGUCCUGUGGAGAGCUGAAUGUAGAUUUAUUUGGCAAAUCUCACCUCGGUUCAUCCCAGUUUAUAAGUCCUGUAAUUUGUUUGAUGCGUGCAUUAAUGAGGGUACAAUAGCUACAAUCAAAGUGUUCAAUUCAUCUUACACUGUGGAGGAUUAUAGUGAGUUAAGAUUAGCUCUUCUUUACAUCUCUAUACUCGCUGAACAAUGUCAUGGAUGGUCCUAACCGGGCUUGGACAGAUGGGAUAUGGUGGUGUUAAAUGUAAAAUAUUUUCCUUGGGACAAACUGCAAUGCAUUUAAAUGAGCAGCAUUUUAUAUGUCAAUGGAUCUAGAAUACACACUUCAAUACUUUAUAAAGAUAUGAGUCUGGUCACUGGUGACAGGUGGAUUAGUCAUGCAUUAGACACGCAUGGUCCAUCCAUCUCAGGAUAAAAUAAAUAAAAUAAAAAAAUCACACAGAGCUGAAAAACAAUGUGGAUUUCUGCAGAAUCAAUGAGCAAAGCACUAAACUCUGCUGAUCUGACGUGAGAUAAAUUUGUUUUUUAAUUGUAAAUCAUAGGUGACCAAUGAGCUCCUCAAUUUCACAUGUGUCACUGAAAAAAAGAGCGUGGAGGACCAGACUGAUAUCAAUCAGUAUAAAAAAUACACAGAGGAAACAUUCUGGAUUUGCCAGGCUAAUGUUAUUUUAAAUGAAAGGAUGUAAAUAAUAUUUGAUUUGUUCCUUAGAGAGAUGAAAUUACAUGCAUCAUGUUGACUCAGAGUGUACGUAUGAUCACUUAUAGGAUAAGUGAUCGUACAUACAAAAUUGAUAAUGCACAUAGCAUCUGUCCUCUGAAGCUUCCCCGAGCAGGUGCUCUCUGCAGCAGGAAGUUCCUGUUUGACUCCCGAGGGUGCCCAGUUGAUGGAGUCCAGACAGUACAACUAUCUAAUACUAAUUCAUCAAUAUAUCACUCAUUUUAUCUCAAAUAUAGUUUUAUUGAUCUUAAAAAAAACAUCAUGAUUCCUCAUUAUGACACCGACAGAUGCAUGUAAAACUAAUGACACUAACUCAGUGAAGUAAAGACAGUUUAGAUGAUCACUUAUGUUAAGUUAUAAUAAAAUAAUAGUGAAUAGAUUUUGGGUGCAUCUGUUGGUCUAUUAUUUAGACAAACACAGUCAUUAACACUGUCAACAGCAUUAUUCAAAAGCAUGCACAGUUAUGUAUAUUAAUACAGACAAAUGAUUCAAAAUUCACAGUUUAAUGUGGUGA